rnacentral:rRNA from 1 species
GAUGAACGCUGACAGAAUGCUUAACACAUGCAAGUCUUUGGUGAAGCUGUGCUUGCACAGCCUAGCCAAGGCGGACGGGUGAGUAACGCGUAAGGAACUUGCCCUGCAGUCAGGGAUAACAGACGGAAACGACUGAUAAGACCUGGUAAAGUCAGGCGGACUCAUGUCCAGCCUGAUGAAAAGAGAUGCUGCAGGAGAGCCUUGCGUCCUAUUAGCUUGUUGGUGGGGUAACGGCCCGCCAAGGCAAUGAUAGGUAGCCGGCCUGAGAGGGUGGACGGCCACAAGGGGACUGAGAUACGGCCCUUACUCCUACGGGAGGCAGCAGUGGGGAAUAUUGGACAAUGGGGGCAACCCUGAUCCAGCAAUUCUGUGUGCACGAUGAAGGUUUUCGGAUUGUAAAGUGCUUUCAGCAGGGAAGAAAAAAAUGACGGUACCUGCAGAAGAAGCGACGGCUAAAUACGUG